UACGAGCUUUUGUUUCCUCAGGUUUCUUCUGAAAUUUACUGGCAAAGAUGAAGAAAUCAAUCUUCUUGGUGAUGGAACUGAGAAACCUGAGUUUGGUCAAUGGUCCUGGACUUCUCCUGAUCAAGUCAUUGAACAUGCAGUGGAUUUCAAGAAGCCAGUGUACAAGGAAGUUAUGUCGGCUUUCGCUUCUCAUCUCCAAUAAAAGAAAGAUUUAGAACACUAAACUCACUGUUUAAGUUUUCCAUAAGAAACUCGAGAAUAAGCUGUUCGUUUCAUAUUUGCCUUUUUUAGAACAAUUCAUGAAAAAAAUACAAUUAUUGUUCCCUCUCGUGAUCUAAGCAAAGUGUGAGAUCCUGUCAUGUU